AUGAGGCUGGCUCUAGCGAAGAAGGAGCUCGACCUUGUAGCUGCGCAAAAGGAGGCUCAGGAGAAGACUGCCCUUGUUGACAAAAAGCUGGCUUCAGUCGGAGCGCUAGAGGAGGAAAUAACCAAGCUGAAGUCGUCUCUUACUGAAUCCAACCGAGAGGCGACUCGUCUAAAGAAAGAUAAGGUGACUCUGAACGAGCAGCUGGAAAGCAUGUCUUGUAGGAGAAACGACUUGGAAGCUUAUCUGAAAGCCCUCGCCAAGAGGCUCUUCCUUAUGCUCGAAUGUACCCCUUUUUUAUUCGACUGUUUUACUGUUUGCAAGUCACUGCGGAUCAGUCGACUCAUUAACUCCUUGAAUCUGCAGAAUUCUGCCAAAACUUUGAAGAGGAAACUGGACGGAUCGAGACGGGCUUGGAUCUUAUCCUUUCUCCAGUCGGCGACGAGGCUGCCAUGA
rnacentral:rRNA from 1 species